GAUGAACGCUGGCGGCGUGCCUAAUACAUGCAAGUAGAACGCUGAAGCUUGGUGCUUGCACCGAGCGGAUGAGUUGCGAACGGGUGAGUAACGCGUAGGUAACCUGCCUCUUAGCGGGGGAUAACUAUUGGAAACGAUAGCUAAUACCGCAUAAAAGUCGAUAUCGCAUGAUAUUGAUUUGAAAGGUGCAAAUGCAUCACUAAGAGAUGGACCUGCGUUGUAUUAGCUAGUUGGUGAGGUAACGGCUCACCAAGGCGACGAUACAUAGCCGACCUGAGAGGGUGAUCGGCCACACUGGGACUGAGACACGGCCCAGACUCCUACGGGAGGCAGCAGUAGGGAAUCUGCGGCAAUGGGGGCAACCCUGACCGAGCAACGCCGCGUGAGUGAAGAAGGUUUUCGGAUCGUAAAGCUCUGUUGUAAGAGAAGAACGAGUGUGAGAGUGGAAAGUUCACACUGUGACGGUAACUUACCAGAAAGGGACGGCUAACUACGUG
rnacentral:rRNA from 1 species